rnacentral:rRNA from 1 species
UUGGAGGGCAAGUCUGGUGCCCGCAGCCGCGGUAAUUCCAGCUCCAAUAGCGUAUAUUAAAGUUGUUGAGGUUAAAAAGCUCGUAGUUGAACCUUGGGCCUAGCCGGCCGGUCCGCCUCACCGCGUGCACUGGCUCGGCUGGGUCUUUCCUUCUGGAGAACCGCAUGCCCUUCACUGGGUGUGCCGGGGAACCAGGACUUUUACUCUGAACAAAUUAGAUCGCUUAAAGAAGGCCUAUGCUCGAAUACAUUAGCAUGGAAUAAUAGAAUAGGACGUGUGGUUCUAUUUUGUUGGUUUCUAGGACCGCCGUAAUGAUUAAUAGGGACAGUCGGGGGCAUCAGUAUUCAAUUGUCAGAGGUGAAAUUCUCGGAUUUAUUGAAGACUAACUACUGCGAAAGCAUUUGCCAAGGAUGUUUUCAUUAAUCAGGAACGAAAGUUAGGGGAUCGAAGACGAUCAGAUACCGUCGUAGUCUUAACCAUAAACUAUGCCGAUUAGGGAUCGGACGGCGUUAUUUUUUGACCCGUUCGGCACCUUACGGGAAAC